rnacentral:rRNA from 1 species
UACGAAGGGGGCUAGCGUUGUUCGGAAUUACUGGGCGUAAAGGGCGCGUAGGCGGUACUUCAAGUCAGGCGUGAAAGCCCCGGGCUCAACCUGGGAACCGCGCUUGAGACUGGAGAACUAGAGUUCGGGAGAGGAUGGUGGAAUUCCCAGUGUAGAGGUGAAGUUCGUAGAUAUUGGGAAGAACACCGAUGGCGAAGGCAGCCAUCUGGACCGACACUGACGCUGAGGCGCGAAAGCGUGGGGAGCAAACAGG